rnacentral:rRNA from 1 species
AUGCGUUGUUGGGUAGGGGAGCGUUCUGUAAGCCUGCGAAGGUGUGCUGUGAGGCAUGCUGGAGGUAUCAGAAGUGCGAAUGCUGACAUAAGUAACGAUAAAGCGGGUGAAAAGCCCGCUCGCCGGAAGACCAAGGGUUCCUGUCCAACGUUAAUCGGGGCAGGGUGAGUCGACCCCUAAGGCGAGGCCGAAAGGCGUAGUCGAUGGGAAACAGGUUAAUAUUCCUGUACUUGGUGUUACUGCGAAGGGGGGACGGAGAAGGCUAUGUUGGCCGGGCGACGGUUGUCCCGGUUUAAGCGUGUAGGCUGGUUUUCCAGGCAAAUCCGGAAAAUCAAGGCU